rnacentral:rRNA from 3 species
UACGUAGGUGGCAAGCGUUGUCCGGAUUUAUUGGGUUUAAAGGGUGCGUAGGUGGCCCUGUAAGUCAGUGGUGAAAUAUCUCAGCUUAACUGAGAGGGUGCCAUUGAUACUGCAGGGCUUGAGUACAGAUGAGGUAGGCGGAAUUGACGGUGUAGCGGUGAAAUGCAUAGAUAUCGUCAAGAACACCGAUAGCGAAGGCAGCUUACCAAGCUGUAACUGACACUGAGGCACGAAAGUGUGGGGAUCAAACAGG